UUCAAGUGAUUUAAAAAAAAGGAGGGAGAAGGGCCGAUUUGAGUGCACCAAGAAGGAACAGAGUUUGCUACUCUGACUCUACCUCCAGCAGGAACCUGAUUGCAUUGACCUGUGAUGGUUUUCACACCUGAGACCCGUCACCUGAUCCUCUUAAUCCCCCUCACUUUUAGACCAAAAGAAGUUCACAGUAGAGGUUCUGGAAGUUUAGGGAGGUGUAAGGUUAAUUUUUCUAUGUUCAUGUUCUGUAAGGAGAUGUUACCAGUUAUUGAGAGGGCUGUGAGGAGGGUAAGAAUUUAAUGUAGGGGGCAAAAGUGUAUGUUUGAAUAAUCUUAUGUAGACAAAAUUAUCUUGGAGAGUGAACUUGGAGAAUAUGAGCCUAGAAGAAAGGUCGUGUUCAUGAAUUCUGUGGCAUUCUUGGAAGAAUUUCACCAAAGGUGUGACCAACACAGGAUGUUCAACUGACAAACACCACUGGCUGACCAGCUGUUUGAACUGGAGAGCUAUGGAGUGAAAGACCUUUGCCUAUUUAGCAGUCUCCUAAGCCUCCCUGAAGACAUUUACUUUCAAAAACCAGAGAGGAAAACAAGCUUAAUAUCUACCACCUGAACUAAUGAACAGAGAGGAUGAAAUCCCCCCCCGCCACCGAAACCCAAGGAGAUUAAUUCUAAAGACUUUCUGCAACAACGGAACCCCAAACUCCCAUUGGAACCAGGUCCUGGAUCUUGAAGGCCUUUUGACAGGACUGAAUCUCGUCCAUCAUUUAUGGGGGGACGCAAUAUCAGAACAGGCAGAAGAAAACGGUCAUCACUGGGAUUGCCUUUUUAAGAGAAGAGGAAUGCCAUUUAUUCAAGGUUUGGAAUCAGUGGAAUGAGGUAGACUGAGUUACUUCUUUGGACAUGUCUUCAAUUAGGUGAGUGAGAAGUUUACCAGGUAUACUGAUCAAGAGUAUUCUAUGCUCCCUAGAGUUGUUUGGUGCUGGU
rnacentral:lncRNA from 1 species